GCCGGCAGCUAGCUCUCUGCAACUCUCACAUGAUUGCCCACUAAAGCUAAGCAGGGCUGCGCCUGGUCAGUAACUGAAUGGGAGACCACAUGGAAAAGCUAGGUUGCUGCUGGAA
rnacentral:rRNA from 1 species